rnacentral:lncRNA from 1 species
AAGUGAUGCUGCUGGGAUUUUGCUCUUCAGCUUCCCGUGUGGGAUUCUAAGAGGCAGGCGUUCUCUCUCCUCUUUCCACGAAAAGCUUCCUUUUGGUGAGGAAUCCUUGGAUUCUCCUUUUCUCACCGUUUUUUAUUCCUUCUUCGAAGCCAGGGAAGCUUAUGUGCUUAGUGAAUUUCUGAAGAGCCUUUGGCACUGUUGACUCCGAGACGAAGACGAGGAAAUUUGUAAAAGGAUCUAUUGUACAGAUUUAAAUUCGCGAACCCGUUGCUGAGGCAUGUUCCCAGGAGUUGCAAAUAGGCUUUAUCUAUGAGUGUGGAUUAGGCACUUCGUUUAAGCGGUGAAAAGGGAAAGACGAAUAAACGGUUAUUUUAGUAGAAUGCAAACGUCGAAGAACAGUCUGGUCUCCAGGAAUGUAGUCCUCUAAUUUAAAUUGCAGCGCGUAACGUUCGAAAUGGUUACUUAAAAGGAACCAGAUCCAUGAAUUCGAAGAUCAAAUAUGCGAUUGUCAAUUUAAUUCAUUUGGGUUACAAACAGAUUUCUUUAUUUAUUUGGAUUAAGAGAAGAUUAAGUAAUUUUUUUUACAUUAGCUAAAUUCUUUAAUGCCAAAUUAGCAGAUCAUUGAAAUGGAUCAACAAGAGCACUCUUUUAAAUUUACGUUUAGCCGAAGAAACUGCUGAGAUAUGUCUAAAUUUAAUAACAAGGAAAUUAUUAAGAAAAAGAGGAAAGUGCACCAUUAUUAAAAAUUGAUGCCAGCACUAAAUUGAAAUUCGCCAAAUGUCCAAGUGAGCCUACUGCUUAAAGGCUACGCAAGUGAAGCAUAUUAAUAUUUUGAUGCAACAUUUGGACAUGAAUUACGAAAUAAUUACUGAAGAACAAAACUGACUGAAAUCGUUUACAAAAAAGAUGUACCCUGAAGACAGCUACAAAAUUUCAAAUUUCAUUUAAAGAUAGAAUUAAAUUAGCAGUUACGAAAAUGCAUAUGUAAUCAUCAAUAUGAAUCAUCGAUAUGGAUUUCAUCAAAUAGAAUACCAAAAAUGUAAAAGAAAACAAACAAGACAAAAGAAUUUCGCAGUUUAUUAAGUGCAAUCUAUGAAAAGAUCAUCCAAUAAGCAAAGCAAAAUUACAGGAAAAUGCUAAAAAUUUAAGCAUUUUGGAAUUAACAGAGAUACUCAAAAUUCUUCAUUGAAUCUGAACGUCUGAUAUUGAAACAUUUAAAUUCCUUUGGAUUGUAAUAGCUGCUCAUAGUGAAUGAAUAGGAUUAUUUUAAAAUGAAGGAUAUAAAAUUAUGUACAAGAAUCGAUGUAUAAGCAAAAAGCAAUCAAUAUAUUCUUUUAGAAAAACAAGAUGAUUCAAAUUAUGAAAUAGAUUUACAAAUGAACUUUGAAGCACUCAAUAGGAAAACAAAGUACUGUAAAUCAACGAGGCUCAUCAAGUCGCACUUGCUGAGCUUUAACCGAAUCAAAUGCAAGAAAAUCCCAAAAUACUUGAAGAUAAUAAUAAUUUCAGAUGCACUUUAUUUAAAUAAAUAAGAAUGGCACUAAAAUUCUUCAUUUCUGCAAAAAGGGCUAAACUGAAUUACACCAGUCAAUAACCUACUCAGGAUUACUUAGAUUUAAACCCAUUCAGCAUGAGGACUUCUACCUCUGUUAAACUUUACAAGGUAAUUAAACCCAAACAACAGAAAGGCUUGGAUUAUUAAUGGAUUAUUAAUUAUGAUGUAAUACAUCACCGAAAACGGUGAUGCAUUACAUCAUAAUUAAUUUUUCUAAAAGCAUUGUAUCUAUUUCUUCGCAGUUAUGAAUAGAGAAAGAAGUUUCCAGAUUGAUGGAACUCUGCAUCGAUGCAUCGACUACAGAAUGUUCAAUCAAAUUCUUUUAUUUUGAGAAAAAAAGAUAACAUACUCAAAAUAAUAAUACAUAGUAUUUAUGCAAGCUUCAUCUUUUACUGGUUAGGCAGCAGAAGCAUUUAGAAAUUUCGUAGUGUGAUGACAGCAUAGAUUUUGCAUUCAUUAGAUUGAAAUGCGAGCUGAAGCAUAAUAUCUCAAACGAAUUCAUAAUUACAAACAAAUGUAUUGUUAAAUUGCAGUGCUUCAGGUAUAUCGUUAUAGGAUUUUGCAUUCCUUCAAAAUAAAAAAGAAAAACACGGAUGUUUGUGAGGGUAAUGAUAAAAAUCUCUGCUGAUGAAAUAGAGAUUACACAACCUGAAAAAGCAGGGAAUAAUUGAUUGCUUAAAAUCGUUUCAGUAAGAUGGAAAGACAUGAAGCGCUGAUUAGAACUGAGCAUAUCUUCCACGAAAUAAUUUAGAGGCACUUUGAUGAAAUCAGACCCUGGCUAAAAAACAGAUAUGAAUGCAAAUCUAGCAUUUUUAGUAAAUAGUAGAAUGUGGGGAUGAUUGAAUAUGUUGUCUGAAACAUUUCACUUUUGUUUAGAAAGGAGUUAUGAUGUUAGCAACUAACAACAGAUAAUUUGGAUAAAAGUAUGCAGAAUAUUAAUAUAAAUUUUUAUUGCGAAUUUGUAGCUUUAUUUUGUGUGAGAACUAGUCUAAAUUAUGUUAUUGGUAAAAGAUUAGAAAUAGUUUAAAAAAGGUUUGCCUUGUUUGAGAUGGGAAAAAUUCACAAUGUACUUCAUUGAUUUUUAGCUGCAUUGCAAUUAUUCCUGAAUGAUACCUAUGAAUGCAAGGUCUGUGGUGAGAAACAGAAUACUAUGGUUUUUAAACUGAAAAAAAAAAAAAACUCCUAAAUAUUUUGAUCCGCAAGAAAAGUUUAUUCCAGCUUUAGUUACCUCAAAAAAACAUUAAGCGGUUUUGAAGGGAUCAGUGUAAAAUUUUUAGAUAUGCAUCAAGAAACUUUUGUUUUAGAAACAGAAUUGUAAGGACAAAAAUUAUGAUCUUGCACAUUGAAUAUUAAUAUCCCGAAACAAAAUUAGUUAUAAAUAAAAACGACAGGAAGCUAAAUGGGAUUAAAAUAGUAUAGCUAACAAUUCGGAUAUUGGAAAUAUGACUUAUUGUGAAUUAAGAGAUGAAACAUACAGAAAAUGGAUAAUUUCCAAAUUUAACAUUUUUAGUUUGUUCUACCUAGUCACAUUGGCAAUAUUAAGUUAACCAUCAAGUGAUAUUAGAUUUUAAUCUUUGAAAUGAUAAAAAAAUAAGGUCUGAGUAACUAAGCAAAGGCAAAAUUGUUUUAGAAUUUCUAAGCAAGUUCAAAAUUUUUAAAUUUACUUUAAAAUAUAAAUUCAGAGAAAGCUGCGAUGAAUUUUGUAUAGUGUAAAUAUUAAUAGAUGUUAGAUAUGAUGUUACAGCAAACUUCUCAUCGUUGACAUUUUAAAUCUCUUUGUAUAAAUUUCAUUGCUGUUUCUUUUAGUACAUAGCUUUAAAUCUCACCAUGUACGUAUGAACUUUUACUCACUGUACUUGUUGCUGUAGAGAUAUCUCUGACAGUGGCAGGAAAUUCAAUGCCCUUAAAAUGAUCAAGACUUUGUAACCUGAAGAAUAGUAAACAGGUUUUGAAUGUACAAAGAAGCUGGAAAAAUAAUUAGAAUAGAUAUAAACGGUUUAAUCUAACUCAUAAUAAUCAAGAAUGUCAUAAACUGUGUUUAUUUUGAACUCUUUUAAAGCAUUUUAUCAAGAUAUUUUCGAAAGACAAAACACAAAUUUUGCAAUCGAAUGAAGAGAUAAUACUCAGUGAAGAGAAGAGCUAACCCCUCGGAAUGCAUCUACAAAUAGGCUCUUGUAUAAUUUGGAGUACACAUAAAGAUUGAUUAUGUGUGAAAGAUUAAGUUAAAGAUCUUAUGCUGUGAUGAAUGGCAAGACUUUGAGAACUGGCUAUUUCCAAGACUACGUGGAAGUGGGAUGAAAGACCUUAUGUUUCGCGCAAUGGGUAUUAUUUGCCAAGCCAUGUGGACGAUGAAGCGAGGUAGCGAAAUGGAGGAUAAGGGCCCACGAAAAAGCUUCGUGUCAGAGAAGCAAAAAAGAUGUUAAAGAAGAAGAUAUACUGAAGAAUUCACUUAGUUGGGAUGAAUUGCAAAAUAACCUGGUGUUUAGUUCCUAAGAUACACUGUAUCUAAUAAACACGUAUUUUUAUAAAAAAAAA